rnacentral:rRNA from 1 species
GAUGAACGCUGGCGGCGUGCCUAAUACAUGCAAGUCGAGCGAAUGGAUUAAGAGCUUGCUCUUAUGAAGUUAGCGGCGGACGGGUGAGUAACACGUGGGUAACCUGCCCAUAAGACUGGGAUAACUCCGGGAAACCGGGGCUAAUACCGGAUAACAUUUUGAACCGCAUGGUUCGAAAUUGAAAGGCGGCUUCGGCUGUCACUUAUGGAUGGACCCGCGUCGCAUUAGCUAGUUGGUGAGGUAACGGCUCACCAUGGCAACGAUGCGUAGCCGCCCUGAGAGGGUGACGGGCCACACUGGGACUGGGACACGGCCAGACUCCUACGGGAGGCAGCAGUAGGGAAUCUUCCGCAAUGGACGAAAGUCUGACGGAGCAACGCCGCGUGAGUGAUGAAGGCUUUCGGGUCGUAAAACUCUGUUGUUAGGGAAGAACAAGUGCUAGUUGAAUAAGCUGGCACCUUGACGGUACCUAACCAGAAAGCCACGGCUAACUACGCGCCAGCAGCCGCAGUAA